AUACGGAGGGUGCAAGCGUUACUCGGAAUCACUGGGCGUAAAGCGCGCGCAGGCGGCUAUUUAAGUUGGAUGUGAAAGCCUACGGCUCAACCGUAGAACUGCAUCCAAAACUAUUUAGCUAGAGUGUGGGAGAGGAAGAUGGAAUUAGUUGUGUAGGGGUAAAAUCCGUAGAGAUAACUAGGAAUACCAAAAGCGAAGGCAAUCUUCUGGAACACUACUGACGCUGAGGCGCGAAAGCGUGGGGAGCAGACGGGAUUAGAAACCCGAGUAGUCC
rnacentral:rRNA from 1 species